AAACUGCGAUACGUCUUGCGAAUUGCAGAAUUCAGUGAAUCAUCAAAUUUUCGAACGCAACCGGCGGUCUUGGGUAUUCCUGAGACCACGUUCCCUUCAGUGUCGCUUUGCGCCCAACUCAGCGGCGUGCUUCCAUGAGGCACGCGCAGCUGGAUACUGAGUGUCUCGAUUUCCCUCAAGAAACUGAGUCACUUUAAAUGUAAUGGACGCCCUUCAACAAAACUACAUGGGGCAAUGCUUGGUAUUAGGCAAUCGAAGCUUAACGGCCGAGAUUCCUUUACACAUCAAACAUUACCCUAUUUGUUGACAGGACGACUUGAAACCCAAUACCGUUUGAGUGUUUUGUUGUCUCCCUUACAAGAGCCACACACAGCACCCCAAACACCAGCAUCUUAGACCU
rnacentral:misc_RNA from 1 species